AACACACCUUGUGGCAAUGUGAAAAGGCAUUUAUUUACAUGGAAAAGCAACCUUGGGAUAGUGCCAAUAUGCCUUGUCUUUGGUAUGAAAAGCAAGUGGGCUUUGUCUUUAAAAAGUUUUUCCUUUUUUUAACUUUUAUUUAUUAUUUUAUUUCUCAUUGUAUAUUUUUCUUCCUGUUUUGCUGCCCACAGCCCUGGAAGCUUAUUUCCACCAGGAGAUGCACCUGUGCAUUACCCAUGGACAAGAGAAGUUGGCUCUGCUCCACAUCACGCAUGAGAGGGGCUGUUAAAGAAGAACAGGCAGAGUGAAAUUCCGCCUGAGGCAUUUGCAUUCAGCCAUCCCCAAAUUCCCACAUUGGCUGCUGAUGCUCUGCUCUCUAAGUAGGCCCACUCCAGCUUUGUGGAAGAGGGCAAACAGACAUAGAGAUGAAGACAGUGUCAUUGUGCAUUGAACAGGCUGUGGAAGAUGAAAGAUGGCAGUGAAGG